CAGCCGCCGCGGUAAUACCGGCGGCCCGAGUGGCGGCCACUAUUAUUGGGCUUAAAGCGUCCGUAGCCGGGUUGGUUAGUCUCCCGGGAAAUCUGGCCGCUUAACGGUCAGAAUUCCGGGAGAUACUGCCAGCCUAGGGACCGGGAGAGGCCGAGGGUAUUCCCGGAGUAGGGGUGAAAUCCUAUAAUCCCGGGAGGACCACCUGUGGCGAAGGCGCACGGCUGGAACGGGUCCGACGGUGAGGGACGAAGGCCAGGGGAGCAAACCGGAUUAGAUACCCGGGUAGUCCUGGCUGUAAACGAUGCGGACUUUGUGUCGGACAAGCUAUGAGCUUGUCCGGUGCCGGAGGGAAACCGUUAAGUCCGCCGCCUGGGGAGUACGGCCGCAAGGCUGAAACUUAAAGGAAUUGGCGGG
rnacentral:rRNA from 1 species